GAUGAACGCUGGCGGCGUGCCUAAUACAUGCAAGUCGAGCGAACAGACGAGGAACUUGCUCCUCUGACGUUAGCGGCGGACGGGUGAGUAACACGUGGAUAACCUACCUAUAAGACUGGGAUAACUUCGGGAAACCGGAGCUAAUACCGGAUAAUAUAUUGAACCGCAUGGUUCAAUAGUGAAAGACGGUUUUGCUGUCACUUAUAGAUGGAUCCGCGCCGCAUUAGCUAGUUGGUAAGGUAACGGCUUACCAAGGCAACGAUGCGUAGCCGACCUGAGAGGGUGAUCGGCCACACUGUAACUGAGACACGGUCCAGACUCCUACGGGAGGCAGCAGUAGGGAAUCUUCCGCAAUGGGCGAAAGCUUGACGGAGCAACGCCGCGUGAGUGAUGAAGGUCUUCGGAUCGUAAAACUCUGUUAUUAGGGAAGAACAAAUGUGUAAGUAACUAUGCACGUCUUGACGGUACCUAAUCAGAAAGCCACGGCUAACUACGUG
rnacentral:rRNA from 1 species